AGUGCGCUCAUCAUGUGAGAGCGAGCAAGCGCGAACAAUAUGUAGUAGUGUCGCUGUCUAGUGUGUAAGAAGUGUAAAGUCGGUGUAGUGGUAUAUCAUAUGUGUAUGUAUAUAUAUGUAUUUGUAUGUGUCGGGGUUGAUUUGUGGAGAUUUUUCUCUCUCAAAUUGUCUCUUUUUUCCUCAGGCCGCAUUUUGUUUCUCUCAAUAUUUGAUUUGUUUAGUUUAGGUAUCUUUUUGCUACUUUCUCAACCUUUCCCGCCCCUCCUCAGAAACCCUAACAUCUAGUUUAUGAGAAUUACCAUGGCUUCGAGAGCAAAAUUUUUUCAGAUCUACGUUUUUUGCUUCCUAUUUUCCUACUUGAGCAGUUUUCUCAUUCCAAAGCAUCGAUAAACUGACAAAUUCCAAAUAGAUUCAAGAUCAGAAAGGAAAGGAAAGAGAAGUGAGAGAAUGGAUGCCAUAGGUUCAGUGAUCAAUCAGCUCAGAAAGUUCGCCUCAGACAGCGUUCGCCUUGCGAAGAGGUGCCACAAGCCCGAUCUCGAAGAAAUCAUGAAGCUGGCGUCCCGUGUUCGUGGUAUGAGAUUCGUCGGGUUCUUCGAAAAGCUGAUCUUCAUCCCGAUCAACGACAUCAUUGUUUGAUCUCGCUAGGUGAGCAACACAAGCUGGAAAUGGUCAAUGAGGUAGGGUGUUCGAUGAACUUUUUAUUUUUCCCCCUCUCUGACUUAUCUUUUUUCCAUUAAGGAUUUAUGGACUUUAUUCAACUCGUAGAGCAAAUGACCCACAUUCUUUAAGAAGUUUUGGUUGGCUAUAGGCUUUAAUACUUGGUGGCAAAUGGGAAUGUUCGACGAUGCCUAUAGAUUGUUAAGAAAGUGUAUUACAUAUUGACCUAAAAUUGUUUUUAUUACAAGGUCUUAAUUUUGUGUGUGAGAGAGAGAGGCACAAUAGAUCAAAGCCAUUCUUCUCCCUGUAAAUUAAAUGAGAAUCCUGUUGAAAUGAUUUUAUAUGUUUUCGAAUUGGAUUCUCUGAUUGUCAUUGACAUUAAACGAUAAUCUUUGUUCAUGGUUUA